AGGUGAUCCACCUGCCUCAGCCUCCCAAAGUGCUGGGAUUACAGGCAGGAGCCAUCGCGCCCAGCCUGUAUUUUUUUUAAGACCUACUAUAUGUCUGGAACUGUUAUAGGUUUGGAGAACCAGCUAAUAGUAAACAAACUAAUAUAAAAAUGAUGUAAUCAAGUAAUUUAGAAGAUUUUAUAUAUUAUUGUUGCCAAAAAGGUGAUCAAGUAGAUUUUCUUUGUCAAAGAACAUAACAGUUUUUUCAUCAGUGCAUGAUAAUUGAGUACUUUUGGAAUCACAACACUUUAAACAUUUAGACAGGAUCCUAUUUACAUUUUAGAAAGAGAUUAAGAGAUAUUCUAUAGAUGUGUCAGUAUGAUGGAAAGAAUGCAUUGUUUUUAGAAAGUCAAUGAGCACUUUAAAAACUUUCAACUCUGUUUUAAACCUUAAGUAUAAAAGAAACUAGCUACAAAUACCCAU
rnacentral:lncRNA from 10 species